GGAGGGCUACUUCUUACUUUCUUUUAAGUUUGAUAUGCCUCUAAGUAGAGUGGUCUAUUCUUUUUCAGUUUGGUGUUAGACAAAAAGCAAAGUAUCCAGUUCUAGGUGCGCUCUAUCACAGGAGGAUGCUAAGGAGAACAUUUUGGACAUCACAAAGCAUUCACUGUCGUAGCAGCAGUUGUCACAUGCCUUCAACAGUAGGAGCCAGCAUGAAGCUUCUCAAAUUUAAAACUAAGGGACAGCCACAGCAUUCAGGGCUUACACUUGGCAUGGAUGUUUCAAUGCUUUUUCAUCUGGAAGAUGCUGGAAUGUCACAGUACGCUGAGAACAAAAUACUGUAGAAAUUGGAGCCCUUCCCUUAACUGAAAUUCCUCUGGAUACUUGCAUAUAUUGUGGUUGCAGUAGACACUGAAGGUAUCUUAAAACAUUUACUGAUGGUCUUAAGCAAGGAACGCUACGGAAACAUUUUUAUGCAACUUUCAUGGAGGAAAAAGUUGCAGAGGAGAGGGAGAAACCUUCUUGUUUCUACGGUGCUUUGAAAAACAACUCUUUAACAAAGAACUGAGACUGAAGAUGUUUGAGAGAUGCAACUAAACUGAUAAAAAAAUCGUGCAUUUUCUUUGCCACAAAGAUGUCAAAGUAUAAAACUCUAGUAUAAUGGCUUCAGGAAUGCCCUCUGUCACUCAGUGUCUUAUUUUCCCCACCUGAUGAAUUAAGAUAAUCAAGUCUUUGCCUUUUCAAGUACUCUGCUCUUCAGUGCUGGGAAGCAUUUAAAUUAGUCUAAAAUAGUAGCAGAAAUACCAAAUUAUGUGAAGUGUGAAAGAACAAACAGAUGUAAUUGGUUUUUUGACAUGCUUUUUUAAAUAAUUAUUUCAAAAAUACAUAUUUCUAAGGAAAAAAUCAAACUAGGAGUAGUAAUGCUAGUUUCUUUCUUUUUCCAUAGUUGAUACUGUUCUUAUCUUCUGAUUAAUGAUAGCCUGUUAUCGCACAUCUUUCUUUGUUUCGUAGGGGAUUAGACAGAAUUGUAUAUAUCCCAGUGGAUAUCUGAUUGCAUAGUUGUUUUCUUUUACCCUGGAACGACUAGCUGAAUCUCUUAGUGCAUGUGGUUAUUUGCAUAUUUUUUUUUAAUCAGAAGAUUUUAAAGUGUUCAUUAUGCAGCUCAGUUGAACACAAAUUUUAUAAAUGCCUUUUUUUCCCCCAUGUGUUCAAUUUGUAUCAUGCCUGCAUGAUGCAUCCUACUAUUUUCACUUUGUACUUAUUUUUCAUGAGAAUGUAUCACUGAAAAUUAAUUACUUUUUCAGAAUAAAAUGGAAAAUGUAAUCUGAAGCUCUAUUUUC
ensembl:lncRNA